CCUACGGGAGGCUGCAGUGAGGAAUAUUGGUCAAUGGACGAGAGUCUGAACCAGCCAAGUAGCGUGAAGGAUGACUGCCCUAUGGGUUGUAAACUUCUUUUAUAUGGGAAUAAAAUGUUCCACGUGUGGGAUUUUGUAUGUACCAUAUGAAUAAGGAUCGGCUAACUCCGUGCCAGCAGCCGCGGUAAUACGGAGGAUCCGAGCGUUAUCCGGAUUUAUUGGGUUUAAAGGGAGCGUAGGUGGAAUGUUAAGUCAGUUGUGAAAGUUUGCGGCUCAACCGUAAAAUUGCAGUUGAAACUGGCAGUCUUGAGUACAGUAGAGGUGGGCGGAAUGCGUGGUGUAGCGGUGAAAUGCUUAGAUAUCACGAAGAACUCCGAUUGCGAAGGCAGUUCACUGGACUGCAACUGACACUGAGGCUCGAAAGUGUGGGUAUCAAACAGGAUUAGAUACCCCAGUAGUC
rnacentral:rRNA from 1 species